UGAGGCAGGAUUAUAUAGGGUUGGGGAUACUCUCCCUUUUUAUAGGUGCUAUUUUUAUCUUUCGCUUAUUCUUGGAUAUUUGAGGGGUACUGGGAGGGCACUUACUGGAAAAUUACCAAUACCUAUGUUUACAGAAUCAAUCCUCUUUUUAAAGAACAUCUGAUUAAACAAAUUCUAUAAUUAACAAAGACUACAUAUGUAAGCAGUGACUAAUGCCUAUAUUAGCAGUGGCUACCUAUGUAAGCUGUGUCUAGUACCUAUGUUGGCUAAAUCAGUUUUUCCUUUUAAAGAACAUUGAUUAUUUUAAGCAGGGAGAGUUCAUCUUUAGAUCAUAAAAAGAGGAACAGAAACAGGGUGGAGAUGGCCUAAGACAGCUUGCCCUAAAAAGAGGAACGGAACACUGGGAGACUGUCAUACAGAAUGGAAUUUUUGCAGCUCUGUUCUGGGCAAGGGGCACAGAGGUGGGCAAAAGGUCACAGAGGGAGCCCACCUUGACCUGAAAACUUGGUCCCUACAUUGACCAUUGUUUAAGUUCUGGAUGAGUCCGGCUGCCUCAGGCUGGUGAGCUCACCACAGGGUGCUGGCCAUGGAGCUGGGCUCAGCAGUGUCCCAUGUGAGCCCAGAAGACUGGAACCUUCUGGGGGAAAAAAUCCUUGCUUUUUCUCUCUGGAUCUGAAACGGAAUAAGAGUAAUCGAACAGGAAACGCACAAAGUAAAAUUUACCGAAAUAGAUGACCGGGAC
rnacentral:lncRNA from 1 species